rnacentral:sRNA from 1 species
GUCGAGCCUAGUUACGUGGGCUUGUAACUAAGUAAGGCAUUAAAGUGAUUGGUUGUAUGAGGGUUGAUCUAGGCCCUACGCCAACAGGGCAAACCCUACCCAUCAUGAGCAGUUAGCAACUAACAAAUUAUUAUUAUU